ACGAAGGGGGCUAGCGUUGCUCGGAAUCACUGGGCGUAAAGGGUGCGUAGGCGGGAUCUUAAGUCAGAGGUGAAAGCCUGGAGCUCAACUCCAGAACUGCCUUUGAUACUGGGAUUCUUGAGUUCGGGAGAGGUGAGCGGAACUGCGAGUGUAGAGGUGAAAUUCGUAGAUAUUCGCAAGAACACCAGUGGCGAAGGCGGCUCACUGGCCCGAUACUGACGCUGAGGCACGAAAGCGUGGGUAGCAAACAGGA
rnacentral:rRNA from 1 species